UACAGAGGGGGCAAGCGUUGUUCGGAAUUACUGGGCGUAAAGCGCUCGCAGGUGGUCCGAUGCGUCGUGCGUGAAAGACCCCGGCUCAACUGGGGAGGGUCGUGCGAUACGGUCGGACUGGAGGCCAGUAGGGGGAUGCGGAAUUCCGGGUGUAGUGGUGGAAUGCGUAGAGAUCCGGAGGAACACCAGCGGCGAAGGCGGCAUCCUGGACUGGUCCUGACACUCAUGAGCGAAAGCGUGGGGAGCAACGGG
rnacentral:rRNA from 1 species